rnacentral:lncRNA from 1 species
AAAAAAGAAUUCCAACUUUUGUUACUUAGUCGAAGCGGUCAUUGUGCUUAUUCUUUAAUCCAUAGUGUUUGUUGACACACAAAAAGUUCAGCCCAAGUCGAAUAGCUCAAGGAAUGAAGUCCAAUUGGAAGAUCCCCAAAAUCAAAUAGCCCAAAGAACGAUCCAAUCAGGCAAUGCAAGAAAAAGGCCCAAAUAGGAAAGCCAUGAACGCGAUAAUACUAUCGCCCAAGGUUACAAAUCGCCCAAGAUUUGAGCAAAUGGAUUGCCAUGCAGUCGCCCAGAACUGUGCCCCUAUUCUCGACCAAACCUUCGAGUCGCCCAGGAUCUUAGCAAACGAAAGAUGUUAUGGUUACUCAAAGGUGCAAUUAAUGAAGCGGUUAUUGAGUAGCCAUAUCACGUUCCACGAUUCCAGGAAUUCAAUUAAAGACGGUUGAACGACAAAAAGUAAUGGCAGCAGUUAGAGAAGACAGUUCCAUAACAAGUUAGCUACUACGAGGAAAGUGGGCAGUUAUAGAACGAUCAAGCAGUUUUUAAGCGGUGGAUCACGAAGAGAUCAUUCAGAGAGUAUAAAAGGAAGAAAAGACAUAGAGCAAAGGAUCCCGAAUCAAACACUCUCAAACAGAGAAUAUGUAAUUUUAAAUUUCUUAGUUUAGAUUUAGACAUUUCUUUUCAGUAACUCAUGUGCUUGCGCCCCUUGGAG